CAGGAGGAUGAAGUAGUGGUGAGGUUGGACUCCCAAGAUGUCUGUAAGACGGACAGUUUUAAGUAUCUUGGGUCUACAAUUCAGGGGAAUGGUGAAAUCGAUGAAGAUGUCUCUAAACGUAUUGGAAUAGGUUGGAUAAAGUGGAGACUCGCCUCGGGAGUGUUGUGUGAUAAGAAGGUGCCCCUUAAGCUUAAAGGCAGAUUCUAUAGAGUGGCAGUCCGGCCGGCCAUGUUGUAUGGGGGCAGAGUGUUGGCCAGUCAAGCACUCUCACAUCCAAAAAUUGAAAGUGGCGGAAAUGAGAAUGUUGCGUUGUAUGUGUGGGCUUACUAGAGGGGACAGAGUUAGGAAUGAGAUUAUCUGGGAGAAGGUGGGGGUAGCUUCGGUAGAUGACAAGAUGCGGGAAGGAAGACUGAGAUGGUUCGGGCAUGUGAUGAGGAGGAGCGCGGAUGCCCCAGUCCGGAGGCGUGAGAGGCUAGCUUUGGAUGGUUUCAGGAAGAGUAGAGGUAGGCCGAAGAAAUACUGGAGGGAGGUGAUUAGACAUGAUAUGGAGCAGCUCCAACUGACGGAGGACAUGACCCUAGAUAGGAAGGUGUGGAGGUCACGAAUAAGGGUAGAAGGUUAAUGGGAGUGUGUGGGUUGUAGCUUGCAGUCUGGGGUGUUAUGGUGUAGCCGGGUUAGUAAUCCGAGGCUUGUACAUAGGUGUCCUUGGUUUGUGUGUGUAUGGUAUGACUAGGUGAGGGCCCUAUGUCUUAGUCCCUAUUUUCUUUUUUCGUGUCGCUCUUAUUUUUGCGUAUUUCGUAUUUCUCUGAUUUCCAAUUUACUAUUUCUUAUUCUUGAUUUUAUUAUGUCAUCCAUCCACUUGUUACUAUCCUUUAGCUUGAGCUGGGGGUCUAUCGGAAACGGCCUCUCUACUUCUUCGGAGGUAGCGGUAUGGUCUGCAUACAUCUUACCCUCUCCAGACCUCACUUUGUGGGAAUACACUGGGUUUGCUAUUGUUGUUGUUGAAGAGGCGCCAUUCAUUCAAGUCCAACACACCUUGGCAGCCCUUUCAUUAAGGGUAUUUUGGACAUCGCACAUGGUGUAUUUACACACCAUGGCAGCCCCUCUCAUUAAGGGCAAAGUGAUCUUUUUGUCUUCUUUUGUAAUAUACUAUAAGUAGGACUUUUUAGGUCUUCUCUCAUUAGUUGUUGAAUGAUGAAAAUAUGAGACAUUGAUAAUCCUCUCUCUUGAGAAUAGACCACCUUAGUGUAUUUCUUAGUUAAGGCUUGGACUAGCCAUUGUAGCUUAGGGCUUGGAAAAGCCAAUAUUGUUCUUUGCUUGGAAACGGUGGAUCUUGAGGUGAGUUGAUUCCCUUGGCGGUCACUGUAAGAACUUGGUGCUUGUUAACGUAUUUUGUAGAGGUUUUAGAGUUUUAUACUCUUUAGUUGCUACAUUAUGUGUUCUCUUUGUGUCAAGUUACCUAUCUUCUUUUUCGUUUAAGUUUGUGUUUGUUGUUUCCGUUUGGUGGCUUGUCGUGUGGACUGUUUUGCGAAGAUUGUGGCUGUUUUGUGCUCAGUUAGAUACCGUUUGGUAUCAUUUGUUCCUUUAGUUCUUGAUAUGUAUGUAUACACCCGUCAGUAUCAUGCAGCAGUUGAAUUACAGGCAGUGGAAAAGAGCAGUUCAAAUUUUCAUAUGUUGAAUUUGAGUCCAAGAAGUGGAAAGGGCCAGCAAAACCCUGUCAAUUUCUCUUAUGGACUUCACCAUGCAGUUGGAAGUGGAAAGGGCCAAAAGGACCCUGUCAAUAUUCCUUAUGGACUUCACAAUGCAACAAGUGAAUCCAGGACUGGAAAUUCCAUAUUUCCUGUGGUUCAAGUGCAGUUCAAGGGUGCUUCAGAAGGACUACUGUACUCUGAAGCUACCAAAAAUAGGGUUAAUGGAAGUCAUAUUCCACCUGGAGAACCUGAGUGUAAAUCCCUUACUCUAAAGUGCGACCAAAUUGAUUUUCAUUGUGCUAGAGGUAAGAUGACUAAUAAGGAAUUCAAUGUUGGUGCUUCAUGUGCUCUUGGACAUGGGAACAUCGAUAAAGGUGUGGCCAACAAUAUUGUUAAUUGACACAGUGCCUCUGAGUUGAACUUUGGACUCUACUCCAGGUAUUACGAAAAUAAAAGGACUGUUAAGGGAAUUGUAGAAGGGAUUGGUCAUAGCAAUUGCUUGGCCUUACAUGAGAAGAACCUUCUUUCCUGCAAGCCUGUGGUAGGAUGAUAGAUAUGCCUGAUGCUCAGAACACCCUUAAUUUGUAUGGGAAGACAUCUUUAAUUUCUCAUAGUGGACCCUUUGAUAAUGGUAAUAUGAGAUCUGUCUGCAAACCAAUGUCUAGAACAGCUCCACCUUCACAGGCAGUUCCGCUGGGGUUUCCAUUAUCAAGUUCAACUCUAAUUGGAAAUCAAAAUCUACAAUUAUCUAGCAAAGAGAGCUCGACGUUGGGAUGAGCACCAUGAGGUCUCAGGUUCAAUUCCCACCAGAGACAAACACUAGGUGUUUUCUUCCCAUCUAUUCUAGCCUUGGUGGACAGAGUUACCAGGUAGCUGAUGCUGGUGGGAGGUGACAGGUAUCCCGUGGAUUUAGUCGAGGUGUUCGCAAGCUGGCCCGGACACCACGGUUAUCAACAAAAAAAAAAGAGCUCGAAUGGAAGGCAGAUUAAACUCAACGAGAAUCAAAGAACGCAAAGCUUGUAUCAUGGGUUGGAUUUUCCUACUCCUGCUCUUGUCAGUUCCUCUACCACAGUCACCAAAGAACAUAUGCUAUGCAGGAAUCCUUUUGACAAAGUGCCAACAUCCAUAAGCCAGUUAUAUGUACCCAAUGUCGCAAAUAUGCUACAUGCAUCUAAGACUGCAGCAGCUUCUGCCUUCUCUGGGAUUAGUGAUUAUAUGGGAAAGCAUAUUUAAGUUAUGGCUCCUAUUACUGGUAAAGGACUGAUGUUUCCUUUUCAUCUAUUCUAAUGUAUCUUGUUUGAUUUGUAAUUGUAAUGACUAGGAAGUUUAUGAGCAUACAGAUCAGCUUGGAGAUUUUAAAUUUUCAUCUUUAUCACGUGGAAGAUUGCCGCGUGCUCAAGACUCAGGAGUGUACUGUGAGCUUUCCUCUGAUUUUAAUGCAGUUCAGUGGCCUUACCUAAGGUCCUGAAAGUAAUAUUUCUCCAUCAGUUGUGCAAGCAAAUUGCUUUCAGGUUGCAGCAAAUUCAUUUAUGUCUUGCCGCUGUAACUGUGCUGUUCAGCCGGACUGUUCUGUUGAAAAACAUAAUUUCAUUGGCGAACCUCUGGAUACUACUCGGAUAGAACAGAGUGGAGUUUCUGGCUGCAUUAAGAAUUUAUUUGAUUUAACUUAAGCAAUUUCCAACACUCCUCCUUGCUUUAGUUACUGCGAUUUAAAAAACUGCUCCUCCUCAAUUUUUGCUCCGGUACGAAAUGCUGAAUUUUUAAUUUUUUUUUUUUUUUGAAUUUGCACUUUUUCUUUUUGAUAUUGAACUUUCUCUUCUUUCUUUUGAUUCUUUGCUGGAAAAACACCAUUAAAAAUCUUGUUUUGUUUGAAAGAGCUUUCAUCUUGACAAUUGUGGGAGUUGCAAAAUGUUGUUGUAAGAAUUUUUCUUCUUUCACAACAUCAAAUAAAGCAUAAGUUUUGAAAUUUAAUUUUAUUUUCACUGACCAAACUUGAUAUUUUUCGCUAGUGAAAAUAUUUGGGGCAUUCAAUGAGAGACUGCUGCUUGACAUUUUUUUGGUCGAAAAUAGCCUAAUGCUUUAAAAAUAAGUACGAGUUGAAAAAGGUAGCCCUAAUGGGUUAAAAUGGAGCCCUUACGGGUUAAAAAUGGUAUGGUAGCGCUUUGGAAGAACUAACAGAUCCCGUAAGAUCAAUGAGGCUCUUGAUACUAAUGUUGGUUUUUUUAAAAAAAGAUGUGGCAGCGAAAAAUGGGUUUAAAAUGGCUCUCAAUGGAUUGAAUAACUUUCAAUAGCUUUCAAUAGUAUUCAAUGAUUUUAUUGAACAUCAAGGGGCUUUAAAUAGCCACCUUAUAAUAGAAAAAUCAGCAGCAUUCAAAAUUUAAACUAACUAAAAUGUCUCAACAAAUCAAACAACCCAACUUAAAUUCAAAAUUCAAAUUCAUCCUAAAUUAACUAACUUAUUUUGCUAAAAACUUGUGCAGUAACUUAAGCAAUUUCCAACAUACUCUAACAUGCAAGGAACAGACAACAGGUUUCCUGAACAUGAAUGAAAAAAUGAGGGGACAAAGUGCGGAUGCUGGUGGAAACAAACCCAGUUGUGAUGUAGCUUUUCAAAUGUUGAAUGUCUAAAGGAGCCAGAAAUAUCCAGUGUUUCUUCUCGAGGAUCGAGUAUCUGCACCUGUUGUUACUGAGGCAUCUGCGCUGAUUCAUGACAAUGAGUUCUCCACUGCUAAUUGUCAAAAGACUCUGGCUAGUAAUGUUGUAGUAGAUGAAGGAUCAGGAAUCAACAGAUGCUGGUCAUCUAAUGAUGCACAAGGCAGUAAACAAAGCACAGUGUUUCUUGGUAUUGCUUGCAAAUUCAACCCCAUGGAUGCAGGACCAUCCAAAGGGUUUGCUGAUAAUUCUGCUUGUAGUCUGAUUGAUGAACUUCGAUUAAGAGAUUCCUUAAAAUUGAAGAAAAUGCAGAACCAGUCUAGCUUCAACAUUCAAGAAAAGAGCCAUCGUAUUCAGAAAGUAGCUGAUUUCUCCAAAAAAGUGACUAGAAAAAGAACCAAAUGGAGAAAGUUGGAUACAACACUUCCUGCUGUCUGCUCUGCUUGUGCCUAUCCUGAGGGCACUUGUGGUUCUGGUUUGCAACAUUCGGGCAAUGAUAAAAAAGGUGCCCUACUAACUGAUAAUGGAAGUGCAGAAAAAUGUGUAUAUUCCAUAGAACCAAGUUUCAGAGAAAGGAGGGCCAGAAUGCGUUCAUUGAGUACUCUUUCUUGCAAUGGUAAAGUUAAUUACCAUGAUGCAAAAGCUUUUGGUACUCGGGCAAAUCUUUUGAUGAUGACGAUACCUUUGCAACCUGUGAAUUACCAAGAAGAAAGAGUCGGAAAUUGGAUAUUGCAAUGCCUGUUAGGCAGGCAGAUGAGGGAUAUAAGUGCAGUUUGGUAGAUACCUCUCCAUUUCCUGAGAUGCAUGAGAAGGUUCAUAGAAGGGCUGUAAGACCUAUAGUGGGGGGCAAAUAUGGUGUAAUUUCUAAUGUGAAUCCAUCAAAACCAGUCAAAUUUGUUUCUCUAAGAAAAAUUUUGCGACCCAUUGGAAAAGUGUAACUCCUCUGGAAACUACACUGCAAAAUUGACUUCAGUAAAAUUCAGGAAGGCAAGUACAAAAGGAAAACAUCGACCCAUUAACAAAUCUUCAAAACUCAAGAAAGUCGGAAGUUGUAAUGCUAAUUGUGUUGUAACUGCCGAAAAAUCUAAAAGUCAUCUCUUGACAGCUUAGCGAAUUGGAUCCUCGCCAAUCAUUAGAGCAAUCCAAAAGAGCGCAUUGUCAUGGAGGUGAACAAGGGACUCACUUAUUCCAUUCUCUAGAGAAGAGGUGGUCUGUUUGCCUAAUAGAAGCUGGUAAUAUUGCAGAUGAUUCUCUGCCAACUUCACAGAAGCCAAAGUCCAAGGGGAUUCACAAAAGGGGCCUUAAUGAGUUGACACUUCAAGGUAUUCAUCCAGGAGGAGGUUCUACCUGUGCUCGAACAGAGGGAUACAAGGGCCUCAAAAAGGAAGGUGUGCGGUAUAAUUCUCCUCAGUAUUCUGAGUCUGAUGGUGGAUGCUUUGUUGCCCAGGAGCAGCUAAAUGCCUGGAUUCACAUUACUGGACAAAAUCCAUCUAGACAGGAGAUCCUGAGGCUUCCACCUAAAGAUGCUGAAUAUGAUUAUCGGAAGGAAUAUGCUCGUUAUAAGCACUCCAACAGGUGGAAGAGUUUGAUUGUGUAUAAAUCUGGCAUUCAUGCUCUUGGUUUUUACAUGUCUAGGUUUAUUUCACAAGGCGAAAUGGUCUCAUCUGUCUCUACUCUCUUCCUCUGAAUUUGAUUGAUCAAGAGCAUAUAGUUGAUGCAACCCAAAAGGGAGGGAUUGCUCGAUUUGUGAAUCAUUCAUGCCUGCCAAACUGCGUCGCCAGAAUCAUCUCUGUGAGGAAUGAGAAGCAGUAUUUUUUUCUGAGAGACAUUUAUCCUGGAGAAGAGAUUACAUAUGAUUACAAUUUUAACCAUGAAGAUGAAGGCAAAAUAAUCCUGUGACUGUAAUUCAAAGAAUUGCUGGCGGUAUUUAAACUGACAGGUUGAUACUUGUUCGUUCGUUCAUAAUCUGGGAACCAAUUCAAGUAUGUGGAUGUAAUGUAAUUAUUUGGCCUCUGCAGAAUUACGUGCUAAUAUUCUCGUGAAACGCCAGCGCCAAUGUCUUCACGGAUGUUUAUAAUCUUGUACAUUCAUAUGUAUGUACAUAAAUAUUUUUAACAUCUAGAUCUGCAGUUUUCUCGGUU